rnacentral:rRNA from 1 species
CCUACGGGAGGCUGCAGUGGGGAAUAUUGGGCAAUGGGCGCAAGCCUGACCCAGCAACGCCGCGUGCAGGAAGAAGGCUUUCUGGUUGUAAACUUCUUUUUUCAGGGACGAAGCAUGUGACGGUACCUGAGGAUUAAGCCACGGCUAACUACGUGCCAGCAGCCGCGGUAAUACGUAGGGGGCAAGCGUUAUCCGGAUUUACUGGGUGUAAAGGGCGUGUAGGCGGGGAGGCAAGUCAGAUGUGAAAGCCACGGGCUCAACCUGUGGCCUGCAUUUGAAACUGUGGUUCUUGAGUACGGGGAAGGCAGACGGAAUUCGUAGUGUAGCGGUGAAAUGCGUAGAUAUUAGGAGGAACACCAGUGGCGAAGGCAGUCUGCUGGACAGCAACUGACGCUGAGGCGCGAAGGCGUGGGGAGCGAACAGGAUUAGAUACCCCUGUAGUC